rnacentral:rRNA from 1 species
GUAAGUCAGAGGUGAAAGCCUGCAGCUCAACUGUAGAACUGCCUUUGAUACUGCUAGUCUUGAGUCAUUAUGAAGUGGUUAGAAUGUGUAGUGUAGCGGUGAAAUGCAUAGAUAUUACACAGAAUACCGAUUGCGAAGGCAGAUCACUAAUAAUGUACUGACACUGAUCGGACCGAAACGCGUGGGGAGCGAACAGGAUUAGAUACCCCUGGUAG